rnacentral:rRNA from 1 species
UGUACUAGAAGUCCGCAGGCUAACCCGCAAGGGAGGCAGCGGCCCAAGGUAUGAUUCAUGAUUGGGGUGAAGUCGUAACAAGGUAGCCGUAGGUGAACCUGCAGAAGGAUCA